CUGAUCUUUCAGCUUCCAUAGCUAUUGUUAACACAUGCACUCCAAGAGCUCGGCUGUUUCACGGCAAUCCUACCCAACAAAGUUCCAAAGGAAAUUGCCAACACCUUCUUCUCUACAUUUGGCGACUUGUUUGAUCCGUCAAACGAUAUUCCCGAAAAGCCUUUUUAUGCUGCACAUUCCAGUUAUGGGCAUCAAUCCUACGGGAUUUUGAACGGCACAGACCCUCAAAAUGUUUAACAAUUCACACGUCUAUUUUGGUCCAAUGGAAACGAUCAAUUUCGUGAGAGUGCUGAUCUUUAUGCAAAAGUGCUGGCAGAACUAGAUCAAACUGUGACAAGAAUGGUGUUUGAAAAUUACGGUGUGGAGAAGUACCACGACGAUCUCAUUCAAUCGACUGUAUACUCUUUCAGAAUGAUGAAAUAUGACGAACCCAAGAAAAUUGAAACUAAUGUAGGGUUUCCCAGUCAUACCGACAGGACAUUUUCCACCAUAAUCCAUCAAAACCAUGUCAGCGGUCUGGAAAUAAAUACAAAGGGCGAUGACUGGGUACUUUUUGAGCCUCCACCUUCGUCGGUCAUAUUCUUAGCAGGUGACGCAUUUCAGAUUUGGAGCAACAACAGAAUUCGACCUUGUAGACAUAAAGUGACCUUGAGGGAAAAUGAUGUAAGAUACAUGUUUGGUGUCUUCGCAAGGAACAAAGGGGUGAUACACGUACCAAAUGAGCUCGUGGACGAAGACCACCCUUUACUGUACAAGCCUAUAAAUCAUUUGGACUUCCUUAGAGCACGGAGAAUUGCUGGUACAGGUGCAUAUGAGUAUGCCACAAAGGCAUAAUUAAUGUGCCAUUUGAUAUCCUUUGGUCCAAAUCCCUCUUCGGGUUCUCUUUCUUUUUUCUUUCAUCUAUUUUCUUAUUUUACUUUUGUUUCUCCAAAUUAAUAAGCAUGCUGCUUAUGAGUCAUGGGUACAUGUUGAAUUGAAAUAUUUAAGGAGAUAUUCUUGCAGUGGCGAAGUUAGGAAUUUUCGGGGGAAGGGGCAAAAUUUCAAAAGGUAAAAGGUUCAAAAAAAUAUCGACACCCACAUCAUUUUAUAUACUAAAUAAUAUUAAUGUCAUUCAUAAUUUGUCAAUAUAAACAAGUUACAAUGUCGUUCAUAUUUUGUGGUACUUUACCUAAUAAUUUGGCAUCAUUCCUUUGGAACUUAGAAAAUCCUCAUCCAAAUAUGAAUAUGAAUGCAAUUAGCCAAUUUUAGAUGUGUCCUAGCAGGCGAUCCGUUUGUGAGUGAUGGUGGCUGUGUUAGCUGCGUUGUGGUGUUGGUCAUGCGAGUUGAUGGGGGCAAUGUGUUGGUGUUUAAGGGAAACUCUUUAAUAGAAGUAGAGUCCGUCAAUACAUGUGAAUCUCAUCUCUAUUAAAGAGAUGGUACAAGUAUAUGAAAAGAAUAUCAUUUUUGUUAAGUGUGGUAUUCUGAUAAAAAGUUAACAUGUAUACUUUUUAGUGGAAUGUAUA